UGUGGUAGCCAUAUAAUCCUGUAGCCCAAGACUGGUUGCCCACUGAAGCUAAGGAGGGUUGAGCCUGGAGACCUCCAAGGAAAACUAGGUUGCUGCUGGAA
ensembl:rRNA 5S_rRNA 5S ribosomal RNA